AUCGAACGCUGGCGGCAGGCCUAACACAUGCAAGUCGAACGAGUAGCGGACGGGUGGGUAAUGUCUGGGAAACUGCCCGAUGGAGGGGUAUAACUACGGGAACCGGUAGCUAAUACCGCAUACCCUCGGUUGUGCCGAAGUGGGAUGAGCGAGUAGGUGGGGUAACGGCUCACCUAGGCGACGAUCCCUAGCUGGUCUGAGAGGAUGACCAGCCACACUGGAACUGAGACACGGUCCAGACUCCUACGGGAGGCAGCAGUGGGGAAUAUUGCACAAUGGGCGAAAGCCUGAUGCAGCCAUGCCGCGUGUAUGAAGAAGGCCUUCGGGUUGUAAAGUACUUUCAGUCGGGAGGCGUUACCGACAGAAGAAGCACCGGCUAACUCCGUGCCAGCAGCCGCGGUAAUUC
rnacentral:rRNA from 1 species